rfam:Myotis brandtii contig161450, whole genome shotgun sequence.
GGAAGUCCUCGGGUGAUGCACCUCGGAAUCAGUCUCCCUCCUCUCUGGUUCCGGAUGCAUCAUCAGAAAACCACA